AUCUGGCUGGCUCAGUCAGUAGAGCAUGUGACUCUUGAUCUCAGAGUUGUGAGUUCAAACCCCACAUUGGGUG
rnacentral:tRNA from 1 species